GAAGUCGUUACUCCAACCCUUGUGGAGGAGGACGUCGAAGGUGGGGCUGAUGACUGGGGUGAAGUCGUAACAAGGUAUCCGUACCGGAAGGUGCGGAUGGAUCACCUCCUAACAGGGAGACAACACAAUGAUUUUGAUGCCUGAGUACUUUUAUUCUUAGGCCGAAAUCCUGUCACCUUAGGUCGAUCGGUACCUCAGCGUUGAAGCAACAGAGUUAACAGAGAUGUUGAUGCGUGUUGUGGAGAUGAUCAGUUCCUAAACUUUGUCUAGGUCACACCCCACAAGGGUUGAGUUUUCCUGGGCCAUUAGCUCAGGUGGUUAGAGCGCACCCCUGAUAAGGGUGAGGUCCCUGGUUCAAGUCCAGGAUGGCCCAUUCGAUGUUGGGGGUUUAGCUCAGUUGGUAGAGCGCCUGCUUUGCAAGCAGGAUGUCAGGAGUUCGAGUCUCCUAACCUCCACUGACCGAACUCAAUCUCCGGUUUUGCAUUGAAAGAUGGAGAACCACUCGAUUGUGAAGUGUGAUUUAGAUGUGUCCGCUGGAUGACCCCAGCUUCCUGUCAUUCCAAAUUUAAGUAAAGGAUUUUACUUAAGUGAAUUUGGUUGAUAAGAUGCUGGGCUCGAGUUCAGUGAUCAAGCAAUUGGUCAUUGGAUUUGAAGUUCUGGCAGAACCUUGACAACUGCAUAGGUAAGUCUGGAAA
rnacentral:misc_RNA from 1 species